rnacentral:lncRNA from 1 species
UUAAAUUGAUGUGGUUUUCCCUUAUUUUUUUCUGAUGGAACUCCCUCAUUCUCAGAGAGCUGUACCUUUAGAGAGAAGGCAGAUUCAAAGUUCUGGCUGCUUCCUGGGUAGAGGUCACCAGUCAGUGUCCACCAGAUGCCCCCGACAUCCCAUCGAUACAGGACGGCAGCCAAAGCUGCGGGUGACAGCACAGUCCAGGCUGAAGGUCCUUGAGUCAGUGAGCUGCUGGCUCCUAAGUUCAAGGACUGUGCAGAACUGUGGCAGGUGGGAAGAUGUUCUCCCUCAAAAAGAGUCCAGAGAGAACCUGAUGGCAGGACAGCCAUGUGCCCCUCCCGAGCCUGCUCUCCACUCCCCACCUCCUAUCAGGAAGGUGGGCUCAUCUGAUCCCAAAGGUCAGAAUCAAAGAGUUCCUGUGGCCUCUCCCACUCACCCUCAGACCCACCCAAACACACACAGCUAACAGAAGACUUGGGACACCAGGCAGGAGGGCAGGGGCAGGCAGAGAGGGAAGAGGAGAGAGUGGAGAGUUUGUCUCAGGCUCCCUCCCUGGGCAGCACUAGGAGCAGGUGGCUCAAGGUUAGAGUGUCAAGGUCAUGGGCCCUUCUCUUCACCCACCUCUUCUAGAGGCUCACCACCAUUCCUUCCCCUUGUCCCUUUGGGCCUAGAGGUGGUAACAGGCCCUCGGUCACUCCUUGGGCUUGCCUGAAUGUAUAAAUGGGCCUCCUCUAGUGACCCUGUCACCUGCUGAGGACUGGACUGCUGAGCUGCCAGCCCUCUCCAGAUCGUCAUCAGCCCAGGACUGGAGAGUCCUUCCAACCUUGGCAGGAAGGUGGUUGGGAAAUGUGCUGUACUCUGGAGGGUGGGGGGAGACAGGAACCUGGCUCUGCAGGUACUCAGAGACCCCGGGGCGGUGCAAAGGAAGCCCGCUCCGUGAGUGGGUAAAUGGCCACCAUCGAUCUUUCUAGUUGAGAUGCUGGGAGAGACUCAGCCACAGUGAGUACUGGGGGAAGGGCAAAGAGGAAAAGGGCUGAAGGACGCAGCCCACCCUUACCUAAUCUUCUUCUUACCCUGGGGAAUUCUCUGUCCCAGCAAUCAUAAAAUACCCACCUGAUUUAGGAGCAAAUGGUGACAGAAGAAGUUGCUCUUUGAGCACUUGGCACUAGACGGUCCUCAUGAUAAGUCGCGGAGGAUUUAAAAGGUUGCUGACAUUUCCCGUUAUGUAUCUUUUCAUUAGAGGUAACUAUCACUUUAAGCAAAUUGUUUCAGGGCCUGGAAUGUAGCAAUAAGUGAUCUAAUUAGUGUAGGUUGUAAUUUAGGAAGGUUCAUUAUGUCACAGACAUUAUGACUCCUGGGUAUUACUAAAGGACUCGUUUGUAGCCCCUGAAAUGAUUUUCUCAUGAACACACAUAAUGUCACCCACAGAACUAGAGUGGGGCCUUAAGAUGAUUUCACAUAUUUGAAACUCCAGCUUUCUUGGGGACUGAAUUUUGAGACAGUCAUAAACAAACCAACAGACAGUAUAUGCGUCAGAUUUAUGCCCAGUUAAAGGGAAACCAGUUCUGACUAGCGCAGUGUGGAACCCUUCGAUUCUGUUACUCGGUGUCAAGUAAAUCACUAAGACAAAGGUACCAUUAAAUGAUAACCAAGACACCAAAAGAAUUUCAAUCCCAUAGAGUCAGAAAGCCUGAGAAAUAGCCGGUUGAGCUUUUCUUACUUUCUUUUGUAUCUUCAGUCCCCCAAAGAAAG